rnacentral:rRNA from 1 species
CCUACGGGAGGCAGCAGUGAGGAAUAUUGGUCAAUGGGCGGAAGCCUGAACCAGCCAAGUCGCGUGAGGGAAUAAGGCCCUACGGGUUGUAAACCUCUUUUGCCGGGGAGCAAGGGCGGGGACGUGUCCCGGCCCGGAGAGUACCCGGAGAAAAAGCAUCGGCUAACUCCGUGCCAGCAGCCGCGGUAAUACGGAGGAUGCGAGCGUUAUCCGGAUUUAUUGGGUUUAAAGGGUGCGUAGGCGGGCUUUUAAGUCAGCGGUAAAAAUUCGGGGCUCAACCCCGUCCGGCCGUUGAAACUGGGGGCCUAGAGUGGGCGAGAAGAAGGCGGAAUGCGUGGUGUAGCGGUGAAAUGCAUAGAUAUCACGCAGAACCCCGAUUGCGAAGGCAGCCUUCCGGCGCCCUACUGACGCUGAGGCACGAAAGUGCGGGGAUCGAACAGGAUUAGAUACCCGAGUAGUC